GACGAACGCUUGCGGCGUGCUUAACACAUGCAAGUCGAACGGAAAGGCCCUGCUUUUGUGGGGUGCUCGAGUGGCGAACGGGUGAGUAACACGUGAGUAACCUGCCCUUGACUUUGGGAUAACUUCAGGAAACUGGGGCUAAUACCGGAUAGGAGCUCCUGCUGCAUGGUGGGGGUUGGAAAGUUUCGGCGGUUGGGGAUGGACUCGCGGCUUAUCAGCUUGUUGGUGGGGUAGUGGCUUACCAAGGCUUUGACGGGUAGCCGGCCUGAGAGGGUGACCGGCCACAUUGGGACUGAGAUACGGCCCAGACUCCUACGGGAGGCAGCAGUGGGGAAUAUUGCACAAUGGGCGGAAGCCUGAUGCAGCAACGCCGCGUGCGGGAUGACGGCCUUCGGGUUGUAAACCGCUUUCGCCUGUGACGAAGCGUGAGUGACGGUAAUGGGUAAAGAAGCACCGGCUAACUACGUGCCAGCAGCCGCGGUGAUACGUAGGGUGCGAGCGUUGUCCGGAUUUAUUGGGCGUAAAGGGCUCGUAGGUGGUUGAUCGCGUCGGAAGUGUAAUCUUGGGGCUUAACCCUGAGCGUGCUUUCGAUACGGGUUGACUUGAGGAAGGUAGGGGAGAAUGGGAUUCCUGGUGGAGCGGUGGAAUGCGCAGAUAUCAGGAGGAACACCAGUGGCGAAGGCGGUUCUCUGGGCCUUUCCUGACGCUGAGGAGCGAAAGCGUGGGGAGCGAACAGGCUUAGAUACCCUGGUAGUCCACGCUGUAAACGGUGGGUACUAGGUGUGGGGUCCAUUCCACGGGUUCCGUGCCGUAGCUAACGCUUUAAGUACCCCGCCUGGGGAGUACGGCCGCAAGGCUAAAACUCAAAGGAAUUAACGGGGCCCCGCACAAGCGGCGGAGCAUGCGGAUUAAUUCGAUGCAACGCGUAGAACCUUACCUGGGUUUGACAUGGAUCGGGAGUGCUCAGAGAUGGGUGUGCCUCUUUUGGGGUCGGUUCACAGGUGGUGCAUGCCUGUCGUCAGCUCGUGUCGUGAGAUGUUGGGUUAAGUCCCGCAACGAGCGCAACCCUUGUUCACUGUUGCCAGCACGUUAUGGUGGGGACUCAGUGGAGACCGCCGGGGUCAACUCGGAGGAAGGUGGGGAUGACGUCAAGUCAUCAUGCCCCUUAUGUCCAGGGCUUCACGCAUGCUACAAUGGCUGGUACAGAGAGUGGCGAGCCUGUGAGGGUGAGCGAAUCUCGGAAAGCCGGUCUCAGUUCGGAUUGGGGUCUGCAACUCGACCUCAUGAAGUCGGAGUCGCUAGUAAUCGCAGAUCAGCAACGCUGCGGUGAAUACGUUCCCGGG
rnacentral:rRNA from 1 species